rnacentral:rRNA from 1 species
AGUGAACGCUGGCGGUAGGCCUAACACAUGCAAGUCGAACGGCAGCACAGUAAGAGCUUGCUCUUACGGGUGGCGAGUGGCGGACGGGUGAGGAAUACAUCGGAAUCUACUUUUUCGUGGGGGAUAACGUAGGAAAACUUACGCUAAUACCGCAUACGACCUACGGGUGAAAGCAGGGGAUCUUCGGACCUUGCGCGAUUGGAUGAGCCGAUGUCGGAUUAGCUAGUUGGCGGGGUAAAGGCCCACCAAGGCGACGAUCCGUAGCUGGUCUGAGAGGAUGAUCAGCCACACUGGAACUGAGACACGGUCCAGACUCCUACGGGAGGCAGCAGUGGGGAAUAUUGGACAAUGGGCGCAAGCCUGAUCCAGCCAUACCGCGUGGGUGAAGAAGGCCUUCGGGUUGUAAAGCCCUUUUGUUGGGAAAGAAAAGCAGCAGGUUAAUACCCCGCUGUUCUGACGGUACCCAAAGAAUAAGCACCGGCUAACUUCGUG